rnacentral:SRP_RNA from 1 species
GCUGAGCACGGUGGCUCACACCUGUAAUCCCAGCACUUUGGGAGGCCGAGGCAGGUGGAUCACUUGAGGCCAGGAGUUUGAGACCAGCCUGGCCAUCAGGGUGAAACCCCGUCUCUACUAAAAAUGCAAAAAAAUUAGCUGGGCGUGGUGGUGCACGCCUGUAAUCCCAGCNNNNNNNNNNGCUGGGAUUACAGGCGUGCACCACCACGCCCAGCUAAUUUUUUUGCAUUUUUAGUAGAGACGGGGUUUCACCCUGAUGGCCAGGCUGGUCUCAAACUCCUGGCCUCAAGUGAUCCACCUGCCUCAG